CCUGUUUCUUGAUUUUAUAUUUCAUAGGAACUCUCUCUUCUAUUCUCAGAGUCUACAAAAUGCAUUAUUAAAAAGGCAGGAAGAAAACUGGGCUUUAUCAAGGGAGGGUGACAUAGAAAAUUAGAAGAAAAAAUUGGUGAGUUGGACAGUCUAAGCAGUUAAUCUAGACAAGGUGGAAAGAAAAGUGAAAACAGCUGAGCUGAGUAAGGAAGACGAAGAACACUGAAAACAGGGGCUGGAAGUCCUAGAUGUAUAUACUGUCUCUCAGCUGACUGACUACGUUUUGAAAAGAUUUAUUCAUGUAUGUCAAGAUGAGACAAGAGAUCUCCUAAAACCACCAGCUUCUCUCCUUAUGUAUCUGAAGAAACUCUUUCCUCAGAGAACUCAAGUAAAUCUUGAGCAAGCCUGUAUACUGAAGUCAGCUUUCCACGUCAGAGUGACACUGUUGAGGUAGAUCCAUCAACUACAGAGGCUUCUGGGAUAUUUUCACAAGACAGCGAUUGUCAUACUGUGAGCUGAGAACAGCCGUUUCCUAGAGGAGUAAUUAGAUUGACAGAAGGUGACAUAUUCCAAGCAAUAAAUAGGAGAAAGAGUCCAGACAGGUAAUCCAAAAACCACGUGGAAUCUUUCCUCCCAGACAUGUGGACAUAUGGACCCUGCAUUAUUCCAUUUGCUCAUCGGAAAAACUUGAAAUACGUACAAACUGAUGAUGAUAGGUGACAGGUGUUUCAAAAAUUCUAAUGAAAUAGAAUUUCAUUAGGGAAACAGAUUCUAUUUCGUUACUGAAAGGAAUAGAAAUGAAAAAGGAUGCUACAUGGAGCUCUCAUUUCUUGUUUUAGGCAUUACGUUAUCAACUAGAAAAUCCUUUUCUUAUGCAGUGAUUAAAACUGAUUUUUCCCUUCUUAAAUACUAUUUUGUUAUUUAAAAAUUUUUUUCCUUUUAUUCUUUCAAAAAUUAUCUCGUUAGUAAAAAUAAAUAAGUAAAUUAUUGACCUUUUUCAAUUAUAUGAAGCUGUAUUUUUAUAUUAAUGCUCUUUAAGUAAAAUUCAGCUUUUUUUCAGAGAACCACCAUCACAGACUAAAAGCUUUCAACCACUCAAUUUCUUUACAUGUCUGCAGUGUCAAUCCUCAAGAAUGUAUAUUUUCAUCAUCAUCCUUUUCCUGUGCCUGCCCAUUCUACAGGCAGAGAAACCUGGAGAAACCCCCAAAUUACUCCUAUUAACCUUUGUUAAAAAUCCAAGUAAUCACACUUUGUUGCAUAGGUAGUGUGAUCUUUACCUCAGAGGGUUGAUGUGUCAAGAACACAUGCAGGAAUUAUUACUAUCAGUUGCAUCAAUGUCAUGUUCACACAAAAACCAAGAAAAAAAAGCAUCAACUUAGAAAAGGUAGUUUCCUUUCCUCUGAUCCUGAAUCAUUUUUUUGCUUGUCGUUCACAGCUUUAUGAAGAUAAGUAUCUACUCUUAACAAGCUGAAUAAUCUUUAGAAAGUAGUAAAUUCAUGUAGGAAUAGGAAGUGCAGUUGAAAUGAAUACUGCCUAUAAAUGGAGUUUCUAAGAAUAUUUCCUGAAAGUGUUUCCAUAUUGGUGUGCUGGUGCUCAUGCUGCUGCUGUUUCCUGACCCUUUAGUAUCUACAGAGAGGUGCUUUGAGGACUGUGCCCAGUGCCUUACUUCAUUUAAAAUUUAUUCGGCAAACGAUUAUUGAAAACCUACUAUGUGCCAGAUACUGUUUUGUACGCUUAUGUGUUAGGAAAGCAGCCAAAUUUAAAACUAAAAAGCUCUGACCUGACUUAUAAUAUUGUACGGUUUUUGCCUUAGGCUGAGGGAAGAUUAGAUGCCAAGAAAUUUCUCCACAGGUUUUAAUAAAACUGUAGGCAUUGUCUAUACUAUCUCUCCCUGUAGUACUAUAGUCCCUUUUCUUUGUUCUUAUUCUAGAAAUGAAAAGACACAUUAAUAUAUUAAAUCUAGUAUAAUCAGCAGGUAGACUUUAAUUAGGCAAGCAAAUCAUAUCCAAUACAGAGUACAAAAAGUUAGAUUUUAACAAAAAUUAUUCACUUGUGGUAAAAAUUUUAAUAAAAAGUUGAAAAUAUAAAACUGUACAAUACUGUAUUUCUCUAGGUUAUUUAUUAAUGCUCAUUCUAGCCAGAUAUCAACUUCUACUGGGGAAGGGGUGGAUGGUGUUGGAUAUUGUCAUUGUUUUUAUUUUUAUAUGCUUCCUCAAAAGAUAAUCUUAAUAUUGGAGCUGAAAUUUUUUUGACUGAAUCAUUUUCAUCUUCAAAUAAUGGAAAUAAAAGACACACUAAUUAAAGAUUUGAAAGCCUUUUCAUGUAUUGAACACAAGGAAACAUCCACCAACUCUGUCUUAAGGGCCACAAAUUAUUUGACAUAAACAUUCAAAUGGUGCUAAUUAUUGAUACUCUCGUCUGGAUGAGACCGCCAAGCAUCAUCCGGCCCUUCCUCAUGCCCACAGUGGGUGAGGAAUAAUGGUGCAAACGCUGCAUGCCUUUCCUUCUGCAUCCCUUCUCAAGCUGGGCUCUCCUUCAGGAAUGAGCCCACCAAUAUCUGUUCCUCCUUCAAAGAGCAGCUGACACAUUGUCUCCUCUCUUUAGACUUUCUGAUCGCUCAGGCUGAAUCAGUUUCUCCUUCAUUCAGGCACUCAUUUUAUUCUACCCAUUUUCCCACUAUAGUCUUAAUCACACAUUAUUGAUCCUUUAUGUGCUUUUUUUCCUCUGCUAGAUUGAGAGGUCCUUAACAAAGCACUUUGCUUUAUUCACUUUGGAGUUUCACCAGAGAGCAGUCUGACCUACUGUAGUUGCUCAAUAAAUGCUAGAUGAAUGAAUGGAACACACAUUUCCACUUCAAUGUUAAUGUAUGUGGAGGUUUCUUGACUUGACCAAGGCUGUCUGGCUGGCUGGAGGCAAAGGCUGUAGUAGGGUCCAGACCCCUUGAUACAUAUUUACUAACUGCUACUAUGUGUCAGGUGCUGCCAGUGGUCCUCUGGAUGCUAAGAUGAUUUUUCUGGACAUUUGAUAAAGAUGAUUUGUUUAUGUAUGUGUUUUUCUUCCUGCUACUAUGAGCUACUAGAGGUUAGGAAUAGUUUAUUUGUCAUCUCGUAUCACCAGAACUUAGCACAAGCCCUGGCAAGUGGUUGGAACUUACUAGAUAUUUGCAGCAUUCAUGACAAACUGAAAUGAAUAGAUGAACAGAACAGAAAAGAAUGUUCAAAUGUUAGAGGGAGGAAGAUUAGUCUCAGUGCAGUAUUUUGCAACUGCAAUCUCUUUUUUUUUCCAUUUAUUACUACCAUUUCACACUACGUUAAAACUCAAUGUUUUUAUUCCCUCUUAAUAACUCCCAAAUUUACUACUUUUUGAAAUGUACAGUUUUUAAGUUAGAAAGCAGUGCAAUGUAGAUGUGAUUUGUACUAUGUAUGAAACAUUAUAACUCACAAAUUUUACAUUAUUGAAGGCUUAAAAUUUAGGGGUACUAGUCUAAAUAGACACCCUCAGAAAAACUGUGCAGUCAAUGAAAUCUUUAAUGCCAGAAAGUCAUAAGCAUAUAAUCUCAGUGAUCAAAAGUGUAGCUGAAAGAGGGCACAGAAUUUUCAGCAUGGAAAGAGAAAAAAGGGAGUGAUAUUUUAGGCAGAAGGUAAAGGUUAGCAAAGGAAAAACAAAACCUUUGUAGGAAAGAGCACAGGGAAAUUUGUGAAUGUGAGUCAGAUACUAUAAAUCUGAAUUAAGCAUGCUUUCAAAUUCUUGGGCAAAGUUCAUCAUUUUCCCCCAUUCUUGGAUGCUAGUCUACUGCUCCACUAUUCUCCUGGGCUUUUACAUUGGUCUUAUUCUGGACCAACAUUUGCCUGAGGGAAUUCAUGGAAAAUCAGGGUGAUUCUGGGGCCAAUCAGAUGAUUCAGGCUUCCUCAGGACAGAUCAAGGAUUUGGUGUUUGUAAGGAUUCUUCCGCCAAACCUCUAUUGGAACCCGGACAGGGCAUGCAUCAUGAGUUGGCCUAGAAUGGGACUGAGAUGGGGAAGUCUGGCACACGUUAGCUGUAAAACACUCCCUGAGAUCCUCAAUCCAGCAGAGAUGUGAAGUGAAAUACUAAAGAGAGAACAUUUAAUAUAUAAUCAUUGAAAUGCAUGAUAGUAUAUGCAGUUAAUCCUAUAUAUCUAUAUCUAUAGCUAUAGUUGUUGUUGUUGUUAGACAGAGUCUUGCUCUGUCACCCAGGCUGGAGUGCAGCGGCAUGAUCUCAGCUCACUGCAACCUCUGCCUCCUGGGUUCAAGUGAUCUUCCCACUUCAGUCUCCCAAGUAGCUGGAAUUACAGGUGUGUGCCAUCAAGUCUAGCUAAUUUUUGUAUUUUUUGGUAGAGAUGGGGGGUCUCACAAUGUUGUCCAGGCUGGUCUUGAACUCUUGACCUCAUGUAAUCCACGCACCUAAGCCUCCUAAAGUGCUAGGAUUAUGGGCAUGGGCCACUGUGUCCAGCCUAUCCUAAUAAUCUUUAUAAUGCAAGUUAAGAAAAGAAAGGCUGGAAUGCAAAGAAUCAAAUUGUAGGUUGUUUUGAAGAAUGGGCAAUGUUAGUGAUUUCUUAAAUGAGGAAGGAAAAGACAAGACAGAACUAUAAAUUAAACAAAGGUUGAGAGAGGAAAGGAGUAAAUUAAUAAAGAUCAGAGAGCAGGUUUUUUGAAAGUAUAAAAUGUAUAAUAAUUGUAACUUCACAUACUAAACAUUUUAGACUAUGGCAUUUUACUUGCAAAUGGGUUGGUUACAGGGACAAAAAGGCUGUAUCUUGAGGCACUGAUGCUUUACAAAUAACAUGUUGGAGCAUCUUUUAUAAACCAUUAAUGACUUAUUUUAACAAAAGAUGUAGAUGUUAUCCUGGGUCGUCAAAAUAAGUCAAAUCAUUAUUUUUAUUUCCUAGUUUUAAAUGCCUUUUUAUUCAAUUUGAGUCUAUGCGUGAUUAGUCAUUUGAAAUGCGAGUAGCUUAUAUCCUACAUCUUUGCAUUCACCAGUCACUUCUGAGCUAUCUUUUGAGUCACCACAUUUCCUCAUUUCUACAGGAUUUCCCACGAUCUCUUCUACUGUAUCAUUUCUUUUCCCAUUUAUUUUCUGGAUUCCAGCCUACCCCUUCAUCCAUUUCUCUCCCAUCUUUCCCUUCCUAGCAAAUGUCACAACGUACUUGUUCAAGCUGAAAACUCAGAAAUCACCCUUGAUUCCGUAAUUUCUUGACUCACCUAUCAUUAUUCUUUCUAUUUGGUCUUCUGUGCUUUGUCUGUUUGUUUUUGGACUCCCACCUUCCAGUCAAUCUUCCUUCAUACUUCUGGCAGGGUCUAAUUAAAAUGCACAUCUAAUUGGAAGGCUGUUCUCCUUGAAAACCCUCCACCUGCCUCUAGGCUCAUUUCCUCUUUUCUCCAGCCUACUGUGUGUAUUAGCUCGUUCUCACACUGCUAAUAAAGACAUACCAAGACUGAGUAAUUUAUAAAGAAAAAUAGGUUUAAUGGCUUCACAGUUUCACAUGGCUGGGGAGGCCUCAGAAUCAUGGCAGAAGGCAGAGGAGAAGCAAAGGCAUGUCCUACGUGGCGGCAGGCAAGAGAGCUUGUGCAGGGGAACCCCCAUUUAUAAAACCAUCACAUCUCAUAAGACUUAUUCACUAUCAUGAGACCAGCAUGGGAAGGAUCCAUCCCCAAGAUUUAAUUACUUCCCACUGGGUCCCUCCCAUGACAUGUGGGGACUGUAACAAUUCAAGGUGAGAUUUGGGUCAGGAUACAGCCAAACUAUAUCGCUGGGUUUUGGCCAAGGGGGAAAUUUCAUGUCAUUUGGCAAGUCAGCUCAAUCCUUUAGAAACACUACUUUGAUAUACGCCAUUCCAUCCUUGCUAGAAUAUCCUUAUUUACUCCUCCUCUCAGUUACACAAACCUUAAUUGUCCUAGGACACCCUAUUACCUAAUGCCCUCACUUACUUGGUGAAGCUUUUUCCUAACGCUUGUAGGAGGCACUCAGGAACUCCCUUUUCUGUACCUGUACAGUCCUUGACCUCUUUGUUUUUUACAUGUGGUAUGUUAUACUGUAAUUUAUUUUUUAACAUGUCUGCUUCACCACCAGGUAGUGUGUUCUGUGAAAAAUGGGCAUCUCUGGUCCCUAACACAGGGCUUGGGUAAUAUGUGUGGACUCAACCAAGAUUCUCAGUUAUGGUUCACUGGAUAAAUGAAUAAGCAAACAAACUUGACAGUCAUACUGUCUAACAGUGACAGACACUAACUGAAAUGAGUUGGGUGGUCUUGUAGAGUGACAGUACUAUUUAUUUGUUUUAAUAAGAUUAUUACCUCAAAAUGUAAGGAGUACAAGUUCUGGUAGGUUAAAGCAAUAUCUGGAAUGACUUCAAGAUUGCGGCACAGGACAUCCCUGUGGGAGCUGAGGGAAUGGAGGAGGUGACACGGACUAUUGUAACUGGUUCACAAAUGGUGGGAUUUCUCUGUGUUUAGACCUGCUCAGAGUCUGGGGCAUGAUGGGCUUCCAAGCCAUCUGUGGCUGCUGCUGCUCUGUUACUGCCAGGAAGACACAAACAUGUUGAGAACAAAACUUACUGCAAUAGACACCUUUGUGCAUUCUCUUCUCUAUUUCUACGUCUCCCCUCCGAAACAAGGACAUUACCCUUGAUGUACUUUACAGAAUAUCUGUCAGUUGGGAUCUCCAGUUUAUUACCAGCUUAUCAGAAAAGCAGAGUAUACACAGAACUUUCCAUAAGGCAUUGCAAAAUAAAGUCUUGAGGUUGGCAACUGAUUGACUUAUGUCAUGACUAUUUUGAUCAUACCUGAGAACUUAAGAUAUCAAAUUCCUCGUUUCUGAGACAGUCAGGAACUCCCAAGAUAAAGAUUGAGCUGUUUCCUUUAAUUCCUUGUCUCCCAACCUAAAGUGGUGGAUUUUACGUUCAGUUGACAGCCAGGCUUAAGAGAGGUAAAGACAUCUAAUGGGCUUGACCCUGGCCCACUUUUCUCCUGGGCUGGCCCUUGUCCUGAUGGGGAACAUUCUCUAUGUUGUGGUUGUCAUGCCUUAAGUCACAGGACCAACAUCACCAAUAACAGUUUUCAAUUUGGGACAGCACCAAAAAUACUGCAAGUUAUUUCUAUUCUUCAAUUUCUUAAAUAGCAGGCAGAGAGAUUUUUCAAGGACCAAUUCUGGAUUGUGAACACAGAUUUCAUUUAUGGUAUCCUCAACUUCUUCCCACAUAAUACGUGACGUUCAAAUCUUUUUAAAAUUGAUUUCUCCCUCUUCCUAAUAAACCAGCCUGCUCUUCAAGGAGUGGCUAUAAGUCAUUCACUCUUGAAAAUUUUCACUUUGGUUUUGGUUAUUCUAUAGUGAUCUGACAGCAAUGAGCAGGGAGGGUCCCUUAUAGUCUAUCUCCCCAGUUAAUAUGCCCUGUGAAGAACAAACACACUUAGAUGCUAAUUGAGGGUUUUGCCUGAGCUUGUGAUAUGCCAUCCCAGAGACUACCAUUGACAACUGUUAACACAUACUGCUCAAUACCCAUAUUGUUCUGAUUAGAGAAAAGUGAAGUAUCAGGAGUGCAGAGCGUCACUGGGAUUGUGGGAACACAAUACGUAAGUCACAGCCGCCUGUGGCUGCCUGUGGAGAGAAGAGUUUCAGUGUGUUAGAACAAAGUUCUAUGAGAGCAGAAUCUUUGUCUUUUUCACCUCUGUAUCCACAGCAUCUUGAAUGUUCCCAGCACAUGGAUGACACUCAAUAAAUAUUGUUAUUGUCGAUGAAAGAAUAAUGGAAUUCAAGGCUGUAGCAACAGAAGUUCUUAUUUAAAAUGGAAUUACAAUGAAAUCUGAAAACACAUAGAGGGCACUUAUUAGGUUUGUAUACAUACUGUACAUAUACACUGAUUCUACCCUUAGCAACAUCUACCCCUUAACCCCACCAUCCCCCAUCCUCGUACAUAAACUUAAAUUAUAAAAGGAAAAAAUCACGUGGAAGAGAGAGUUAAUAGAAUUAAUGUCUCUUUUAUUCUUCCUUAGAACUAUGUAAUGAACAGUUAUUUCAUAUUGUUGCUAUCUGUUUUCUGCUUUUAUAUCAUUUUCUAGAUUAUAAGAUUCUUGCAGACAGGAAGUCUCCUGACGACUUUCCAUCCUUGGCAACAAGUAGGAUAUCUGACAGGAGAAUGUUGCUACAAAUUGGUUAACUUUUCUGGAUAGGUGUCCUACAGGGGAAUAAUGGUAAGGACAGCCUGAUGAUAUACAAUGGAGAGGCUCAGGCAGACUAAGCAAAAGCUAGUGGCUAGGAAUCCAAAUGUUCCCCCUUGAAAACCAAACCUCUCUCGCUUUUUAGUCAGGUUUGCCAGGUCUGUAAAAGGUGAGCAGUCUUGGUCUCUAGUCUUACUUGUAUAUUACUUGUCCCUUUCCAUGUAAAAUCUCUCCUGGGACUUGGCUAAUGCAAUAUUAGUGUUUUCACUGUAUUGGUUCAUAUACUGGCAAACCUUCUGCUUAACAGAGGCAGUGAAAGGUAUAAUGGGUAGAUGGUUGCUGGUCAGGGGACAGUUGCUGAUCCAGGGCCAGUUAAGCCAGCAGACAGACAUCCUGGGGUUUCAUCAGACUUAGCAUAAGGACAGGAAACCAGGAUGUACUCUCUAGUGAACAAGAGGCAGAAAGGCCGACUGGAAGUCAGAGAUCUGGGGAAAAGGCUCCUUGCAGGUUCAACAGUUGACCUGGAGGUAGAAGUUGUUAGAGUUACAGGAUGUUGUCAAUUGGUCAGAGAACAAACCUCUAUCUACCCACAACUACAUCAUGCAUUAAGAAAGUCUCACAGACUAAAUCUCCAAAAUUCACAGCAGUAAACUUAAAAUGCAAAUAAUUGUUUCUUUUCUGCAAAUAAGUUUCUACCUCUUUUUUUUUUUUUCUCUCGCUCUGUCGCCCAGGCUGGAGUGCAGUGGGGCGAUCUCGGCUCACUGCAAGCUCCGCCUCCCAGGUUCAGGCCAUUCUCCCGCCUCAGCUUCCCGAGUAGCUGGGACUACAGGCGCCCGCCACCACGCCAGGUUAAUCUUUUGUAUUUUUAGUAGAGACGGGGUUUCACCGUGUUAGCCAGCAUGGUCUCGAUCUCCUGACCUCGUGAUCUGCCCGCCUCGGCCUCCCAAAGUAAGUUUCUACCUCUUAUCUCUCCUGUCACAUUAUAGAUUACUUGUAGAGAUGGAGAGAAUUGAAUCCAUUUAUCCUCUGUAGCUGUUAUCUCAUUACCACUCACCUAAUACGUGAAUUUAUAAUAAGUGGUGGAUUUUACGUUCAGUUGACUUGGGUAGGUGUCUGAUGAAAGAAAGUUUGAUAGGACUGUUUGAUAAGAGCUUCAGGUGCUUAAAAAUAAAUGUGCUUCAAAAUUCUGAGGCAGUUUCUCAAGGCUUCUGCUGCAAACACACUGACAUCAUUCCAGUGGCUUUCUUUAUUUAAACUCGUCUUUCCUGCAGUCCUGUCGUAGUUCUGCAUGCUGCAGUGCCACUGUGUGCCUGCCUCUGUUCCACACAAGGCUGCGCUCCUUGAGGGCAGGUCUGUGCCUUGUGUCGGGGUAUCCUUAGUACCUGGCAGAGUACUGGGCCCUGGGAAUUUCAUAAUUUAAUGUAAAUUUCAAGUUUGCUAAUUAGAGGGCCUUUAUUUGCUUACCUAACAAUAUAAUUAUUUCCAGCUAGUACCAGAAAAAUAAUCAGAGUAUUUCUAGGACCGACAUCAAAAGUGCCAGUACAUUUCAGAGUUAGGGUCCUCUGCUCAACUUUCCACUGGGACUUGCCUGCUAGUUUCCUGGCUCAUUUGUUAUUGGGGGUUGCUGUGCCUGGACUCACAUUGCAGUUCCUGCUGUUUUAUGGUAUUAAUGUGAAGGAUCCUUUUUCACUAGUGUAGGCAAUUAUGAAUUGAGUGUAAUUGCUCGGAGAGGACACAAGUCAUGAAUAAAUACAAUCUGAAAAUUCCUAACAUACAUUGCAUUAUGGCAAAUAGAUCCUUCUUUCUAGGUUAAAUACUUAAAAAUAAAAUAUAAUUCAUAAGAAAUAUUUUGCAAAGUGUACUAUUACUGAUACUGCAUGCUAAUCAAGGCCUAUAUAGACUAAGUUACUUUAUUAUUUUAUCAGGUUAAUUUUUUUCAAAAUUUAUGUUUCCAAAUUAAAUUAACUAAUAAUUAAAAUCAAACUCAUCUCAAUUUAUUUUCCUUAUUCUCUGAAUGCUAUCCAUAUAUGAAUCGACAGUCCAGAAUCAUGGACCAAUUAUUAGUUCACAAAAUCUCAUUUCCCAUGACUGCAUAUAUUAUGCAGAUGAUAAUAUUCUUAGGUGUGCAUUGUCACCUUGGAUUUCACAUGAUGCUAUAAAUGCUAGAGUGACACUGAGAACUGAAAAAUGGAAGGGUAUAGAGAGGAUUUUUGUGUGUGUGAUUUAUAUACAUUUUAUUUUUUUAUCUCAUUUUGUUCCAUUGACUAGGCCCUCAGUAUGACUUAAAGCAGAGAUGGGAGCAUAUUUAUCUCAUUUAUAACUUUAAAAGGAAUGAGCCAAAUGUUUCACCAUUAUACACUUACUAUGAACCCUUUUUGUUGAUAUAUUUCAUAAACUUAAGGAAAUUUCUAUUCCUAGUCCAUUAAGAAUUUUUAUUAAUAGAAACUGAAUUUCAUCAAAUGCCUCUUCUACUUUUAUUUUGAUGAUCAUUUGGUGUUCAUAAAAUUGUUAAGAUAAAUUUCAUUAAUCAAUUUGUUAACUGUUAUGAUGAACUUUUCCCCAUAAUUAAAAAAAUUAUUAGUAAUAUUAUUUUAAAUUGACAAACAAUACUUGUAUACAUUUAUAUGGUAUAAUGUGCCAUUUUGUUAUGUGUAUACAAUGUGGCAUGAUUAAAUCUAACUAAUUAACAUAUCUAUCACCUCUCUUAUUUUUUAUGGUGAGACAUUUGAAAUUUAUUCUCUUAGUUAUUUUGAAAUAUAAAUACAUUAUUAUUGACCAUAGCCACCCUGCUGUGCAGUAGCUCUCAAAACCUAUUCCCCCUGUCUAUCUGAAACUUUGUACCCUUUGAUCAACAACUCCUCAUUCCCGCCCUCAUCAACCUCUUCCAGCCUCUGGUAACCUCAACCCCUUCCGGCCUCCAGUAACCGUCAUUCUACUUAGAAAAUGUUUAAAAAUAAGAAUACCAAGAAUGAGAGACAGAGGUUAUAAAUAGAUAGAAAAAUACUGGAAGGGGGAGAGGAAAGAAAGGGAGGGAGGGAGAGAGGGAAGGAAUGAAAAUGAGUGAAAAAGAGAGAAUUUGAAGAUCAUGUGAAAGACAGGGAGGGGAAAAUAAUCAAGUGAACACUUCAAGUGAUCCCUUGCUAUGUGAACUCAUCUCUCAUCAUAUGGGCUCAGCACUUUAUGAUCUAACAUAAAGAUUUAUGACAGGCCAUCAGCAAUUUUGUUCAUCCUGAUAUCCACACCUGGCAGUGGCUCGGCACCUGUUGUCUAACUCAACAAGGCCAAGUGCAUGCUGCCAGCCCCACGGCGCACUCUGUCCUGUGGCCCCAGACAGCCUUCUCUGAACAGACUCUGUAGACCUGGCCUCCAGGCUGCCUGAUUUUGUAGUCAUGAUGGCUUCAAUAACUUCAGGCAUUAUCCGUGGAAAUGUACUGCAAACUUGACUUUUUAAAUUAGGUAUUUCAAUUUCCAUAACUUAUGAAAUCUCAGUGAUUUUGUUAGUCCAGUGGUGAGCUUAAGGGUAUCAUUUGCAAAAUCAUUUCUUCCAGAUUCUUCAUUAGGUAAUUAUAAAAACAACAUUUCCUCUUCUAUGGCAUGAAGAGGAAAUUAAACCAGUCUUCCAUCACUAUCAAAAUAUUAAUUUUCUUAAUAUUUUAAUUGAAUCCAUUCCUCAGCAAUAACACCUACCAUUUACCAAGCAUGUACAUGUGCCAGGGACUGAGCCCGUGGCUUUGCAUGGGUCUUUUUUUAAUCCUCACAAGCUACUCUUCCACAAUGACUGCCAAUCUACAGAUGAAAAAAAGAGGCACACAGUGGUCCAAGAACUUGCUGAAGUUUACAAAGUUAGUGAGUGGUGGAACCAAGUCUAUGAACCCAUGAAUGAGCUCCGGAAUUUUCUCUCUUAGCUAUCGAAUUAUUCUGCGUCUGCAAGGUUGUUUAACAAUAAGGAUUGCCUAAACCAUGCCUGUGUAUCUGUGUAUCCUUUGAACACUUACUCUCAGCUGAAAUUGGUGAAAUGACUGACAAAUCUUAUUUUUUCAUAAAGGGAUGUGUUUGUAACGGAAUUCAUUUUCUGAUAAAAAAUAUUAUCUAAAAUGUUUUUCCUACUAUUUUGCUAUAAUAUCAACUGAAUAGAUGGGAAGGCCCUUCCCAAUAUGUAGGUACUAUCUAGAAUAGACAGGAAGGCCCUUCACCAAUAUGUAGGUACUAUCUAUCUAGUUAAAAUGAAGUGUAGGUUGUUGAAGCCCCAAGGAAAAGAAAGGGUGCUAAAUUUUUCUUUUUUGAGAUGGAGUCUCCCUUUGUCACCCAGGCUAGAGUGCUGUGGCACAAUCUUGGCUCACUGCAAGCUCCGCCUCCCAGGUUCACGCCAUUCUCCCACCUCAGCCUCCUGAGUAGCUGGGACUACAGAUGCCCGCCACCACGCCCGGCUAAUUUUGUUUUUGUAUUUUUAGUAGAGACGGGGUUUCACCGUGUUAGCCAGGAUGGUCUCGAUCUCCUGACCUUGUGAUCCACCCGCCUCAGCCUCUCAAAGUGCUGGGAUUACAAGCGUGAGCCACCACGCCCGGCUGCUAAAUUUUUCAACUCCUAACAUUCCUAAGCCUAGGAAGGAAGUCCUUCCCAAUAAUAUACAGACUGUACCUAUCUGCAUAAAAUGAAGUACAGGUUUAUUACAAUGAUUAGAGUAAUACUAGCAAGAACCUCAAGUCUCUGUGACUAACAAAAAGGUCCACUUUAUUAUUUUGGCACCUAUAUUCUUCAGAUGCAGAAGCCAACCACUUGCCUCUUCUCUUCAAUUUACUUGAGCAGAUGGGGGAUGCAAAGGCUGCUAACUACAAGACUACAUUUUCUCUUGGGUUGAGGGAAUAGAUUGGGGAAAAGAGAAAAAUGUAUGCUUUUAUGGAGAAACUAUUGUUUCUCCCUGGGCAAAGCGAGGGAUCAUCGAGAAAUCUUGUAUGCUGUAUAAAAAUUAUUUUCAAAAUCAUGGGUAUAUAAUCUCUUCCCUUUCCUGUUUGUUGAAAAACAUGCACAUAACACCAAGUUACUUUAUAGGCCAGAUGAGAGGAAAAAUAAAAUAAAUGACUUAAACUUCCCAAUUUUUUCAACAGUUACAAGGAAGACACAGUAAGAUGUGAUCUUCUAAAGUGAAAAUUUCCCAGAGUACCAAGGAAAAGGAGAAACUGCAGAAGAGCUUCAAGAACCACAAACACUUGGGUUUUGCAUCUUGCCAGAAAAUCUGCACUGUUGGUAGAAGCCUGGGGUAGGGCUGGCAGGACCUGACUCAGCGGAGAAAAUGCCACCCACAGUCACUGACUCUGCUUCCGCAGUAGCGGAGCUCCCCUGUUUUCUCUGGAGGUUUCCCACAGCCGGGCCAAUACCCAUGUCUCUCAGAUGGGAAACUGGACUUUUGGAAAAUUGAAACUAAAUAAAGUCGUAUAACUUUUAAAAGAAGUUUACAAUUAUGAUGCUUUGCUUUUCACAUGCGCUUAAAGUCCAUUUUCUGUUGAAUAAAUAAUAUUAACCACAUAUUAACCACCUAAUAGUUUUAAAAUGUCUCAAACAGCCAUCACCAUCAUUCUGAACAGAAUCACACUUCUUUUUAAAAGAUCACUGUUAAAAGAUGAGGGGAAACAGUACCAUUAAAAGGAAGCAAAACAUAGUUCAAAGUCUGCUUCCAUGAGGUAAUGUACGCUAUCGACUAAUUGUCAAAGGAAUCCAGUCUAUACCGAGAUGAAUGAAGCAUGAGGUUAAGGCAGGUGGCUGGGAGAAGUUAGAAACUCUCCCUCCCCGAUUGCAUUACAUUAUUGUCGAAGCCAAGCAGAUAGAUAGAAAUCAAUGAAAGUUUUGUUGAUCUGACACAGGAACUUGUGCACAGUGAAAUGGAAGCUAUGUAUUUUGUGCUGGAAACUGCCAGUCUCACAUUAACUGCAUGUAUAUGUGAAUAUAUGUAGGUUUGUGUGUGUGUGUGUGUGUGUGUGUGUGUGUGUGUGUGUGUGUACAGCAUGAAGCAGAACAUUUGAAAGAAUCUUCAGAAUUAUUUCUCGUUAGAUGUACUUUUGGGUAGAUUUUAUCUUUUUCCCCCAGAAAGUAAUAUUUCAAUAUAGAAAUUUAGGCCUCAGCAAAGUGAGGUGUUUUUUUUUUUUUUUUUUAUGUUACAAUGCUUGCAAACUUAAUGGUGGUUUCUAAUGGAAAACAAAUUUCUUCCCCUAAUCAUAAUAUAAGAAUUUGCAGGCCAGGCACAGUGUCUCAUGUCUCACGCCUAUAAUCCCAGCACUUUGGGAGGCCAAGGCGGGUGGGUCACUUGAGGUCAGGAGUUUGAGACCAGCCUGGCCAAGAUGGUGAAACCCCCUCUCUACUAAAAAUACAAAAAAAUUAGCUGGGCAUGGUGGCAGGAGCCUGUAAUCCCAGCUACUUGGGAGGCUGAGGCAGGAGAAUCGUUUGAACUUAAGAGGUGGAGGUUGCAGUGAGCCGACAUUGCAUCAUUGCACUCUAGCCUGGAUGAUAGAGUGAGAAUCCAUCUCGGAAAAAAAAAAAAAAAAGAAAAAAGAAAAAACAAACGAAAAACUACAGUUUUCUUUAAUAUAAAUAAAAUCUCUUGUAUUUGUACAAACGCAAUUGUGAAAAAUACUGAAAUAUUUUCCUAUUUAUUUUUAUGCUGGUCAGCAAGUGGUUUGAUUUCAGUAGCCAGACUCCAGGCGCAGAGUUCAGAACUAUAAAUUUGUUGUACCUCCUAUCAGUUAAAGUUGACUGAGAUGGCCAUCCCUCCCCAAAUCACAGUUCGUCUUGAAAAUCUUCAGAGUGUGAAAAAGGUAUGGCUCAGAACAAACACCAGUGGUUAAAAAUGAUAUCCUUUUCCCAGUAGCGAUAUACAUUGUGGGUAUGUGAUUAGAAUAUUUAAAAUACCUGUUCACCUGGUAUUAAGCCACAUGUGUAAUACAUUAGAGUGUUCCUGGCUCAUUUCCAAGAGUAUGUAUCCUCACUGCCAUGAAAAUACUGUGGGAGCCAGGGCAAAGAUACUUAAGUUUCACCCUAGAAGCAAUGCACAACAUAUAUAUUUCACUGUUAACAAUAUCAUCACACUAAGCAUUGUUGACUGACUAAUACUUCAAUGAAAUCAAUUAUUUAUUUUUGUGUCAGAAGAGAAACUGGCAGCAUAGGGACACUUGUGUUACCCUUGCUAAUUACUUCCAUUGUCUUGAAAUCUCAAUCAACCUACCCCCUUCUCUUUCUCCCUACAUCUCUCUCAUUCUUUCACUUUCUCUCUCAUUGUCUAACUCCUCUUCUUGGAUACAAAGUAGUUCAAAGGGGACACCAGGAAAUAAAUUAUAUCCUAAUGCUAUCUACCAGAGUUCACUAAGAGAACUUGGGCAAGCCCCUCUAUUUGGCAGAAUUCCACUUAUUUUUUUUUUUAACUCUAUUUUGACUGGACUUAAUAGAAUUACUUUUGACUCCUAGUUUUUUUCCUUUUUCUACCCUUUCCCUAGUUUAAAAAUCUGUGUAGUGAGGACCUUAUUUCUGAAGAAUUUCAUCAUGUUAUUACACAAGAAAUAUACAUACAUUAUAUGAUAAUUUAUAAAAUGUGACAUUUUAUUUAAAUGUAAGCACCAAAUACACUGAAGAUUUCAGUGUCCAAAGUAUGCGUGUGUAUAUACAAGUGAAAGUUUAAAAUUUUUGCCUAAAUUUACAUAUGCAAAAAGGAACAGCAGGAAAAUAAAUACCAGUUGUAUGAGCAUCAUGUGCUAAUGGCUAUAUAUGUAUAUAAGUUAAUUCUUACAGGAAAACCAAAAGUGAGUUUUAUUAUCCCUAUUUUACUGCUUCAGAAGCUGAAGCUUGGUGGAAAUUCAGAAUGUUGCCCAAGAUCACAGAGUUUAUGAAAGUGGCAGAAACCAGGUUUGUCUGACGCUAAAAUGUGUGUCUGUCCCUCUUCCAGCACCACACUGUCUUUUUUAUGAAAGGGCAGGGCUUUUAUUAUAUGGAUGUGAAAGUGUAAGGGGAGAGUUUUCAUAUUUGAGAGUAUUGUAUUCAGAAUCCUGACCUGUUUAGGUGAUCAUUAAAAGUGCACAUGUCCUGGCUGGGUGUGGUGGCUCACACCUGUAAUCUCAGCACUUUGGGAAGCCGAGGCAGGCGGACCACUUGAGGUCAGGAGUUCAAGACCCAGCCUGGCCAACAUGGUGAAACCCCGUAUCUACUAAAAAUACAAAAAUUAGCCAGGUGUGGUGGCACAUGCCUGUAGUCCCAGCUACUCGGGAGACUGAGGCAGGAGAAUUGCUUGAGCCCAGGAGGUGGAGGUUGCAGUGAGCCGAGAUCGUGCCAUUGUACUCCAGCCUGGGCAACAGAGUGAGACUCUGUCAAAAAAACCCAAAAAAACAAAAAAAAAAAACUGCACAUGUUCUGAGGAAGGAGGAUCUUUUGAUCCCAGGAGUUUGAGAAGAGCCCAGGCAACCUAGCGAGACUCUGUCUAAAAAUUAAAAAGUGCACUACUUCAUUAGGAACUUCUAAAUUUAUAGAUUUUGAUUUAUGUUUCAAUUUACUGUAAAGAAGCUUAUAUAGUUUAAAAUAAACCUCCUAGGCCAGGCACAGUGGCUCACUCCUGUAAUCCAAGCACUUGAGAGGCUGAGGUGGGAGGAUCACUUGAGCCCAGGAAUUCGAACAGCCUGGGCAACAUGGCAAAAUCCUGUCUCUACAAAAAAUACAAAAAUUCGUUGGGUGUGGUGGUAUGUGCCUGUGGUCCUAGCCACUUGGGAGGCUGAGGCAGGAGAAUCACUUGAGCCCAGGAGUUGGAGGUUGCAGUAAGCCAAGGCUGUGCCACUGCAUUGAAACCUGGGCAAUGGGCAUGAAAUCAUCUCAAAAAAAUAAAAAAUAAAAAAAGGCAAAACGAAAACAACAACAAACACAACAAAGAACCUCCUGAGGCCUCUAUAAUUUGCUUUCUUAACACACUGUAUGUGAUAAAUAGUCCUCAGUCACAGAAAUGUAUGUGCACCUUAUUAGUGCAAACUAAAAUUAUAUGAAUAUUUCUGAAGCAACUUGUCCUAUGAAAUAAAAAUAUAAGUUUGGUGAAAGCUUUCAGGCUUUUUAGCACACACACAUAUACAUACUUACAAAACGUAAAGUAUUUUGGCACUUCCACUUUUCACAACUGUUUCUGUCUUUUCCAGCAGAACCUCUCUCAAGAAUUGAUUGUCAUUACGCUAAUUUACUGCUCGAGACCACGGAGUGUCUUUCUGAUGCCAAUUGUAUCACAUCUAAUUCCACAUCAAAUAUUUAGAGUGCUUGAUUUCCCUGUCUCUUCUUCCCAUUUUCAUUGCCAUCUUUCUUAUAUCUUUUUCUUUAUAUGAAUAUUCUCUUCAUAUCAAGCUAAUACUUUUCAUGCCCUUGUUUCUUUUUUCUUGUGACUCUUUCCAUACUUGGUUUUUUGAAAGUUUGCCCACAUGUUUUUCAUCAAUUGAUAUCCAUCUUUCUGAAUUUGACUUGUUUGAGCCUAAAAAGAACUACCAAUCAUGGCUGCCUGUCCUGACCUUUUAAACUUCUUUCUACCACUUAUUGCUUGAUGACAUGGUAUCAGGAGCGGCGCUGCCAUCAUUGUCGUCAUUAUCAUUAUUGUAAACCUUACCAAGUGUCAGACCCUGUUCUAAGCAUUUUACAAAUGUUUAUCCAUUUAAUUCUCAUAACAGCUAAGCAGAAGACAGUAUUAUUAACCUCUAUUUACAGAUGAUGGGAUUAAGAAACAAACAGUUGGCCGGGUGCGGUGGUUCACGCCUGUAAUCCCAGCACUUUGGGAGGCCGAGGCUGGCGAAUCACCUGAAGUCGAGAGUUCAAGACCAGCCUGACCAACAUGGAGAAACCCUGUCUCUACUAAAAAUACAAAAAAAAUUUAGCUGGGCGUGGUGGCACAUGCCUGUAAUCCCAGCUACUCGGGAGGCUGAGGAAGAAUUGCUUGAACCCGGGAGGUGGAGGUUGCGGUGAGCUGAGAUCACGCCAUUGCACUCCAGCCUGGGCAACAAGAGUGAAACUCCAUCUCAAAAAAAAUAAAAUAAAAUAAAAAAUAAAACAGACAGUCUAAGUAAUUUUCCCAAGGACAUAUAGAACUCAGGCAGUCUAUCUCCAGAACUGAUGCUCCUCAACACUGUGCUAUGUUGCCUCCCUCUAAAUACCCCAUAGUUCUCAUUACGUUGUUUUGUCCAGUUGAUUCCCACAUGUAUUUUCUACCUUAAUUGGACUGUAAGUUUUGUGAGGUCACAGACAAUGUCUUCCAAACUUGUAUUUCUCCUGGCAUCAAUAUAAAGUUCUGUAUAUCCUAAGAAUUUAAUAAUUAUUGCUUGAAUAAAACAAAAUCUACAUAUAAAAGUGGAAACAAAUUUUUAAGAUAUACAUACUGGAAGGCCACUUUCAGAAAUGAAGGUAAAAAUAUAACAAAAAUCUUGAAUGCUUUAAUGAAUAAUUUGCAAUAUAAGUCUAACUGCAUUGAAAAUCGAUAAUGAAAUUGCUGUAUUAAUUUCUUUGCACUUCUAUUUAAUAUUUCUUAACUGUCAUUAUAAGCAUUUGAUGCAUAGAAUAAGCAUACUUUCUUUUGUUUAAGCCAAGCUGCUUGCAUUAUUUUGGCUUUCUAUUACAGAUAAUACUGUAGACAUUUCAAAUCCACAAUGAUUUGGAGGUAGUCAAAUCAAUAUCAGCUACAUAAUACAUAAAGGAUGGAUGCAAAUUUUAUAGCAAAGAAAUUAAUAAUUUAUAUCUGUUUACUGUAACAAAAUUUUUUGUCAGCUUUUUCUGAAGUUUAACAAUGCUUUAGCCAAUAUUCAUAAAUUAUGUAUAACAUAUAACUGUUUAAGAUAAAAUGCUACUAAAAUAACUAUAUUAUUUCAUGUUUAUAAAUGUUACAGAAUCUAUUAUAUGUAGUAAUUCAUGUAGUACUCUUUCUGUAUGAUAGCCUAGCAUAGUUACCAUAGCUCAUAUCACUAUUACAUCUAAAAAUAUUUUUUAUUUCAGCAGUUAAAAAGAACCAAUAUUUUCCAUAUUACAGACUUUGCUGAAGAGUCAGAAAUGAAUAAUAUAAUAUCAAAGGUAAUAAUUUCCCAAACUGAAUUUAUCCUGCAUGGUACAAAUGACUCAACAAUGAAAAUUUUGUUUAAAAAGUAUUCAUGUAAAAGGCUUUGUCCCUGGAAUACAGCUCUAAGUGGCUCACUAUCUAGGUUGAAAAUGGUUUCGCAGGGUUGUAUGUCCUAUUUUUCCAUGCCUGCAGUAAAGAUACAAUAUGGGAAUUCAGCUUGGUAAUUACUAAUACACCACACAGACACAAUUACACCCUGUAUGCUGCAUAAAGGAAUCACUUGUGGUCUGCAUCCAUUACAAAGAGCAGUAGGGGGCCAACAUGCAAGACGACAAAAUGCUUUACAAGACGGAAGGAGACCAGAAGAGUCGAUGUACACAGAUACAAGGACCUUGAUUCUUCUAGCAAUGAUUUAAGCCUCUUUCCAUCAAUUAUCGUCUUUUGUCUCAAGAGUCUUAUCACCAGCAGCAUUACAGGAACUGAACAUAACAAUGCUCAGACUCGUAUAACCCUAUGAACUGUGCUGACAUUUCCACACCCUGUUGCUAUGUUUGACCUGGUUUACAGAUUACUUAAGCAAAACAAAAUAGAAAAAAAAAGCAUUCCCAUUGCAAAACUGGCAUACACACACACACACACACACGUAUUUUUUUAUGACUUACUCAGAAUUCCAUUUGUUGAAACUAAAAGCCAUCCUACUCCAGAAAUGCUAUUUUUCAAAGUAGUUUCUACAUCAUUUUAAAGAUUAAAAGUAAAAAUCUGCU